rnacentral:rRNA from 1 species
GAUGAACGCUGGCGGCGUGCCUAACACAUGCAAGUCGAACGGUAAGGCCCUUCGGGGUACACGAGUGGCGAACGGGUGAGUAACACGUGGGUGAUCUGCCCUGCACUUCGGGAUAAGCCUGGGAAACUGGGUCUAAUACCGGAUAGGACCACUGCCUGCAUGGGUGGUGGUGGAAAGCUUUUGUGGUGUGGGAUGGGCCCGCGGCCUAUAAGCUUGUUGGUGGGGUGAUGGCCUACCAAGGCGACGACGGGUAGCCGGCCUGAGAGGGUGACCGGCCACACUGGGACUGAGAUACGGCCCUGACUCCUACGGGAGGCAGCAGUGGGGAAUAUUGCACAAUGGGCGCAAGCCUGAUGCAGCGACGCCGCGUGAGGGAUGACGGCCUUCGGGUUGUAAACCUCUUUCAGCACCGACGAAGCGCAAGUGACGGUAGGUGCAGAAGAAGGACCGGCCAACUACGUGCCAGCCGCCGCGGUAA